UACGUAGGGUGCAAGCGUUAAUCGGAAUUACUGGGCGUAAAGCGUGCGCAGGCGGUUGUGCAAGACAGAUGUGAAAUCCCCGGGCUCAACCUGGGAACUGCAUUUGUGACUGCACGGCUAGAGUGUGUCAGAGGGGGGUAGAAUUCCACGUGUAGCAGUGAAAUGCGUAGAUAUGUGGAGGAAUACCGAUGGCGAAGGCAGCCCCCCUGGGAUAACACUGACGCUCAUGCACGAAAGCGUGGGGAGCAAACAGG
rnacentral:rRNA from 1 species